UGAUGAUUUAAAGUCUGCAGUCCAAUUCC
rnacentral:piRNA from 1 species